CAGGGAAAACUGUUGGUAGAUGAUGGAAAUAGUAUUGCAGAAUUCAAGGAAUUUGACUGUAACCUGAGUAGGUCGGAAAUAAGAAACUGUCGGAAGGAAAUCAAGGAACUAGACGGACAGAGGCUUAUUUUCCGAAACUGCGGAGUCAAAGAUGACAGAACUGGUUGCAGUACAGAUGUACACAAUAUAACAACAUGCUUCUGCAGUACAGAUUAUUGUAAUUCAGCGCCAACGUUUUCAAACCCACAUUUGUUUUAUCUGAUGCUAUUUGUUUUGGUUUUAUUUUGUCAACAUGCUGAUCGUAACUAAAACCUCAUUUGAAGUAUAAAUGGACUGACUUUUACACAGCUUCUGCAAACAGGGGUAGUUUCGCAGUACACGAUUCUAUCACUUGUUUCCUAAUACUUUUUGAUUGUUGGUAACCGCAAAAAAAGUUCUCGGAAAAAAUCUCUGGAAAUAAAGUCCCAUCACUUUCUUUCCUUGGACUUUUUUUCUGAUUCCGGUAUGAUUUUUACAAAAACUUCCCGGGAAAAAAGUCCUAUUAUAGUAGAAAAUGCAUGGUAACAAAGGAUGUUUAUAACCGUGUAAAAAAGGGGGCUUGAUAUUUCAAACACCCCUAGCUAUGUUCAAUAUGCAGAUGUAUAGAAGAAAAGUUGUUUUUAUGAAAACGUCUCAUGGACUUAACCUCAUUUUCACAAGACUUAGGACUUUUUUUCAUGGUUUUUUUCUUCGAAUAUAUUUUUUUGAAGACUUUCAAUCCUGUGAUCUUAUUUCC